rnacentral:rRNA from 1 species
UUAUGAUUACCCUGAACGGUGGAUCACUUGGCUCGUGCAUCGAUGAAGAACGCAGC